rnacentral:rRNA from 1 species
UGCAAGUCGAGCGGAAACGAGUUAUCUGAACCUUCGGGGGACGAUAACGGCGUCGAGCGGCGGACGGGUGGGUAAUGCCUAGGAAAUUGCCCUGAUGUGGGGGAUAACCAUUGGAAACGAUGGCUAAUACCGCAUAACACCUUCGGGUCAAAGAGGGGGACCUUCGGGCCUCUCGCGCCAGGAUAUGCCUAGGUGGGAUUAGCUAGUUGGUGAGGUAAUGGCUCACCAAGGCGACGAUCCCUAGCUGGUCUGAGAGGAUGAUCAGCCACACUGGAACUGAGACACGGUCCAGACUCCUACGGGAGGCAGCAGUGGGGAAUAUUGCACAAUGGGCGCAAGCCUGAUGCAGCCAUGCCGCGUGUGUGAAGAAGGCCUUCGGGUUGUAAAGCACUUUCAGUCGUGAGGAAGGUAGUGUAGUUAAUAGCUGCAUUAUUUGACGUUAGCGACAGAAGAAGCACCGGCUAACUCCGUGCCAGCAGCCGCGGUAAUACGGAGGGUGCGAGCGUUAAUCGGAAUUACUGGGCGUAAAGCGCAUGCAGGUGGUUUGUUAAGUCAGAUGUGAAAGCCCGGGGCUCAACCUCGGAAUAGCAUUCGAAACUGGCAGACUAAGUACUGUAGAGGGGGGUAGAAUUUCAGGUGUAGCGGUGAAAUGCGUA